GACAGAGGGUGCAAACGUUGUUCGGAAUCACUGGGCGUAAAGCGCGUGUAGGCGGCUUCUCAAGUCGGGUGUGAAAUCCCAGGGCUCAACCCUGGAAGUGCAUUCGAAACUGGGUAGCUAGAGUACUGGAGAGGAAGGUGGAAUGCUUGGUGUAGAGGUGAAAUUCGUAGAUAUCAAGCGGAACACCGGUGGCGAAGGCGGCCUUCUGGACAGAUACUGACGCUGGGACGCGAAAGCGUGGGGAGCAAACAGG
rnacentral:rRNA from 1 species